UGUAAGCGUAUACCAAAGUUGUUGCAGUUAAAAAGCUCGUAGUUGGAUUUCUGAUCGAGACAUCAGGUCGGGUCCGAGAGGAUCAUGUACUUUGAUUUUGUUUUGAUCAUCCUUGGGGAGAGCAUUUCUGGCAUUCAGUUGUCGGGAUUGGGAUCCUCAUCGUUUACUGUGAAAAAAUUAGAGUGUUCAAAGCAGGCCUCGGCCUCUGAAUACAUUAGCAUGGAAUAAUAAGAUAGGACUUUGGUGGUCUAUUUUGUUGGUUUGCACGCCAAAGUAAUGAUUAAUAGGGAUAGUUGGGGGUAUUCGUAUUCAAUUGUCAGAGGUGAAAUUCUUGGAUUUAUGGAAGACGAACUACUGCGAAAGCAUUUACCAAGGAUGUUUUCAUUAA
rnacentral:rRNA from 1 species